rnacentral:rRNA from 1 species
UAGGGAAUCUUCGGCAAUGGACGAAAGUCUGACCGAGCAACGCCGCGUGAGUGAAGAAGGUUUUCGGAUCGUAAAACUCUGUUGUUAGAGAAGAACAAGGACGUUAGUAACUGAACGUCCCCUGACGGUAUCUAACCAGAAAGCCACUGCUAACUACGUGCCAGCAGCCGCGGUAAUACGUAGGUGGCAAGCGUUGUCCGGAUUUAUUGGGCGUAAAGCGAGCGCAGGCGGUUUCUUAAGUCUGAUGUGAAAGCCCCCGGCUCAACCGGGGAGGGUCAUUGGAAACUGGGAGACUUGACUGCAGAAGAGGAGAGUGGAAUUCCAUGUGUAGCGGUGAAAUGCGUAGAUAUAUGGAGGAACACCAGUGGCGAAGGCGGCUCUCUGGUCUGAAACUGACGCUGAGGCUCGAAAGCGUGGGGAGCAAACAGG